AUUGAACGCUGGCGGCAUGCCUUACACAUGCAAGUCGAACGGCAGCACGGGAGCAAUCCUGGUGGCGAGUGGCGAACGGGUGAGUAAUAUAUCGGAACGUGCCCAGUCGUGGGGAUAACGUAGCGAAAGCUACGCUAAUACCGCAUACUAUCUAUGGAUGAAAGCGGGGGAUCGCAAGACCUCGCGCGAUUGGAGCGGCCGAUAUCAGAUUAGGUAGUUGGUGAGGUAAAGGCUCACCAAGCCGACGAUCUGUAGCUGGUCUGAGAGGACGACCAGCCACACUGGGACUGAGACACGGCCCAGACUCCUACGGGAGGCAGCAGUGGGGGAAUUUUGGACAAUGGGCGCAAGCCUGAUCCAGCAAUGCCGCGUGCAGGAUGAAGGCC
rnacentral:rRNA from 1 species